GAAAUAGCAAACAUAUAAUCAAAGAUUUACAAACUGUGCCUGCACCAGCUAAAAUAUGUCAAGUGAGGUGAACUUAAGAUUCAAGGACAAAAAAUCUAUUCAUUUCCAUCAGAAACCUCAUCAAACAAGUACAAAUAGGGAACCAAAGGGGCAUGUUCAACUGGUUCUCCUACCUCACUCUCCCCCAUCAUUUCAGGAAUUUUCCAACCCAAAUGCUGGAUAUAAACUCUAUCAAAAGCAUCAACAGUCAAAGAAGAAGCCAGAAAUAGUUCUAACUCGUUCACAAAUCGAUCAGUUCGGCCUGUUAGGAAAGGUCUUGUUGCUUCAGAUACCAUGAUCUUGAACUCUUCUUGCUUUGCUUGAGGAGCAACUUUUAUAUGCUUUUGCUCAUUUCUUCUAAAUGAAUCAACUACACCAAGUAUAUGAUGUACAAUAAUAUCUACAUCUUCUUCCUGAGUCAAAGACUGGAUUUCUCUUCUCAACCAACUUAUAAGCCAAGGAUUGGGCUGAAGGUACUUCUGCAACUUCCAAUAACGUAGCACAUUGAAUUUGUCGAAUAAGCCCCCUUCAUCGGUAUAGUAGCACUGCAAUC
rnacentral:misc_RNA from 1 species